rnacentral:rRNA from 1 species
AUUGAACGCUGGCGGCAUGCUUUACACAUGCAAGUCGAACGGCAGCACGGGCUUCGGCCUGGUGGCGAGUGGCGAACGGGUGAGUAAUAUAUCGGAACGUACCCAGAAGUGGGGGAUAACGUAGCGAAAGUUACGCUAAUACCGCAUACGAUCUAUGGAUGAAAGCAGGGGACCGCAAGGCCUUGUGCUCCUGGAGCGGCCGAUAUCUGAUUAGCUAGUUGGUGAGGUAAAGGCUCACCAAGGCGACGAUCAGUAGCUGGUCUGAGAGGACGACCAGCCACACUGGAACUGAGACACGGUCCAGACUCCUACGGGAGGCAGCAGUGGGGAAUUUUGGACAAUGGGCGCAAGCCUGAUCCAGCAAUGCCGCGUGAGUGAAGAAGGCCUUCGGGUUGUAAAGCUCUUUUGUCAGGGAAGAAACGGUAGAGGCUAAUAUCCUUUGCUAAUGACGGUACCUGAAGAAUAAGCACCGGCUGACUACGUG